rnacentral:rRNA from 1 species
GGGUCAGUAGGUUGGUCGUGCCACCGGUACGUACUGGUCCCACUGAUUCCUCCUUCCUGAAGAACCGUAAUGCCAUUAAUUUGGUGUUGCGGGGAAACAGGACUGUUACUUUGAAAAAAUUAGAGUGUUUAAAGCAAGCUAACGCUUGAAUACAUUAGCAUGGAAUAAUGAAAUAGGACGAUCGAUCCUAUUUUGUUGGUUUCCAGGAUUGACGUA